rnacentral:rRNA from 1 species
CUUGCAGUUGAUGCCCUUGCGGGCAUCCUAGAUAAGACCAAGCUGGCCGGCCACCUUAAGGGUGUGAUUAGUCAUCUCUCCGGAUGGGGGGUUACCCACCUGCAGUAUGCGAAUGACACCAUGAUUAUGGUGGAAGGCUCGGAUUCAGACAUUGUUAAUCUUAAGUUCCUUUUGCUCUACUUUGAGGAAAUGUCUGGACUUAAGAUUAAUUUUGAUAAGAGCGAGGUUGUGGUCCUUGGCUACUCGGAGGCUGAGCAGCACAAGAUCACGAAUAACCUCAAUUGUAGGUUGCCUUCAUUCCCCAUAUCUUACUUGGGGAUGCCCCUGGCUGAGUCCAGGAUUUUAGUGAGUGGGUAUGAUCCACUUGUGGGACGAGUAGCGUCCCGUGCGGAGCCUUGGUGCAGUAGGUUCACAUCUAAAGGAAGCAAAACUAUCCGCAUUAGCUCUAACCUUGCCAGCCUCCCCAUGUAUAUGCUGGGGAUGUACAUCUUGCCCGAAGGUGUGCAUAGUUCCUUUGACAAGGACCGGGCUAGGUUCUUCUGGCAGGCAGGAGAUGGUCAGCCUAAGUACCAUAUGGUGAAAUGGGCUGACAUCUGCUUGCCGAAGGACCGAGGUGGGUUUGGCAUCCCUGCGUCUUGCUGUAUGAAUGUUGCACUCAUGCUUCAUUGGGUUUGGUGGAUCUUGCGGGAGAUGGAGGUUUGUGGCUGCAGCUGA